CCAAAGCAUGAUCAGAUGUCACUCACUUGACCCAAUGGAAGCGAAGGUCUACCACGAUUCUGCUCAAAAGGGGAAAAUAGGAUUGUUAAAUAAAUACUGUUUUCCAGAAGUAGACAUUUGUUCUAGCGUAUAGCCUCGCUGAUACUUAGUUAGCUUUUGCAUUUGGUGCUCAUCUUUCUUCCAAAUAUUAUGAUAAUUUUUUAUCGAGGUAAAAUUGGUACGUAGCAUUAUAUUCGUUUCAGGUGUAUGACAUAAUAAUUCGAUCCUUGCGUGUACUACAGAGUGAGGACCACAGCAAGUCUAGUUAAAAUCAGGUUAGAGGAACCAAAAUAAAGUUCUUUGGCAGAUAGGAAUCCUGUUUACUUUCCAGCUCUGAACUCAGCAGGUUAAGUAAUUGGGCUACAGAAAAGUUCCUCCAUUUCUAUUUCCAGCUGGUGAUACACAAAAGGCAGGAAGUUAUCUCAUUAAUGGGGCACCAGCUUUAUGCAAAUUAUAGUAACAAAAAGGCUUCCCUUCAUACUUUUUCAUAAAUUACCUAAUAAAGUGGGAAUAAAUGGCCAUAUUCAAGAGCCUUUGUUGUAUUUUUAGCACAAGACUCUUUCUGUUACUGCAAAUAUGACUAAAUGUGCCUUGUUCAAAAGGGGUGUUUAUGAAAUAAGGCCACUCAAAAGCUUUUAUUUCUUAACAGCCUUCAGUUACUUUUAUGGCACAAAAUUAACAUAAUUAGUCACAGAGAAUAGAUGACAUAAGCAGCGUGCCAUGCACAAAGGGGGGAAGCAGUAUCUAAGGAAGGUAUUUUGAGAGAUCAAAAAUUUUCAAAGUGCUUAAUACUAGAAGGUCCUUUUUAUUUGUGCACAGCCUUAAGAUACUUUUUUUUUAAAAAAAACUCCAUGAAAUUCACAUAAUGAGAUGCAGUAGACAGAUGACAUUAGCGAUGUGCCAUUAGAAAGAGGUCAGUUUCCUCUGAAAGAUAGUCACUGUUCCUGCUCGUCAUUAAUUUGCAGCUUCAAAGCACUGAGCAUAUGAUAGCCUGGCAUGUUAAGCAAGUUGCAGUUAUCUUUAAAUAACCAUUUUUUCCAGUUAUUAGAAGCUAAAGUUUUUAAACUACCAACUGAAAGCAAAAUUAAAGCACGCAGCAGUGUAAGGGGAAGAAAAAGGGGAAAGAAAGGAAGGCUGGAAGAUGAGGGAAAGAAAAUCAAAUAUAUUUUUAAAAUGAAGUUGCUGUGGUUUUCCCCGGGGGUGGCCUGAUUUUAACUUCAGAGCUAGAAUUUUGGGGGGUAGUCAGGAGCCUCAAAGAUUGGAGCGUCAGCUAGCAAAUAAAACAAGUGGGGAUUUUUGGUUUCUGCGUCCUUAUUAUGGCACAUGCUGCAAGGCUAAAAAGUGAGUUGUGUGGUUAUUUAUAAUUCCACGGAGGGGGAACAAUGCCAUUUUGCAGCCCUGAGGGCUCUGUGAAGUAGGAGAGCAAAAAGAGUGAAGAACGCUUGGGUUCCUGUUACACAGAACUGAUCAAAUAAAAAUGCAUUGGGAAAUAUAUCAGAUUAUCUUAUUUGAAAGAGUAGAUCAAUGAGAUUUCUCUGGUUUGGUUUGUGAAUAAGUCACAGAAUAAAACACAGAAAAAAAAUGAAGAAUUAAGUCUUUGCAUUUAUCUGAGUUCGAUUACAAGACUCUUCUGUAUUAAUUUAUUUUUAAAUGAUUCUUUUUUUUUUUUGCAAAGAAAUACACAAAUGUGGUAUAACAUUCUUAAUAUUCACAAAGACUCACAGACUCUUACAUUUCAAAUUCCCUUGGAGUUUGUUUUUCACUUGGAAAUUCUAGAAGCAUCGCAGAGGGUUUAGCCGCUUUAAAAACCUCCUGAUUUAUAGCUUUAUCUCCCACCACCCAACAUAAAAUCCAGUCACCAAAAUCUCCAGCGAGCACAUGGUGACUGAUUUUCUGCAGUAUUUUUAGCCCGCGUGUCAGUGGAGUGGCAAGGCCAAAUGGCAUUGGUUGAAUAGGUAUUGGCAAGAAAAUAGCAAGCAACAUCGGUUAACGUUUUGGAACUGUUGAGACUCAAUGUUUGUUUGUACGUCAGCAAUAAAUGGGAAAAAAAAUAGUGAAUAUCAAAUGCUGUUUUCACAUCUCCACCGACAUUUAACUGUCAGUCGUAUUAUUUUUAAGCAUUGUCUAGAUGGCCAGAAUUGCAUCCUUGCUGUGCCUGAAUUACCCGGGGCUGUGCAGGGUUGGGGAAGAUCGCAGGAGGCCUCCACUCCACGCACAGGAGAGGAAGCAGAGCCCUAGCUGCAGGCUGCUGCUGCAGCACCACAUGCCAUGGGCCCUGGCAGGACGACCAGCAGCGUGCAGGGGGGCUUCCUGAUGGGAAAACCAGGCGUUGGGAAGAUGAACACAAACAGCACGUCUUGCCCCAUAAAUGUUGGUUUCGGACCACGUAACUUGCUUUUGACAUUGUUUUUCUUAACUUCCAUUUGGUUAAUAAAACUCUCUUUUCUUUUUUCAUGGUGUAUUUUCCCCAAAUCGGGCUGCUUCUCUGGAGCAACUUGCCAGUAACAUAUCAGUGCUCAGGAAACACAGUGGGUGCCUCUCAAAUGGCUGAUAGUAGAGGGAGCAAAUAUCAACAGAUGCACCAGGAAGACGUCGACGCCCCAGAAAGUGAGAAGCUGAGUGAUUUUUUUCCACCUUGUGGCAUCAAAGAAGGUAUCAGUGAAGGAGACAGAAAGAGGCAGAAGGAGAGGGAGAGAGAGAAUCUUCUGCAGACUCCCGACUGAGCGUGAAGCACAAGGUUGCUCUACCUAGAGACUCUGAGAUCAUGACCUGAAUGGAAAUCAAGAGUAGGACGCUUAACCGACUGAGCCACUCAGAUGCCAGCCAUUAAAUUGGAAAAUUGAAAGAGAAGAUAAAAGGUGGAUAUGCGUAUCCAGUUAGUGGGUGAUUUUAACCAGAUUUUCUCCUUCAUCAUGGCUCAUUUGCAUUGUGAAUACUUGGAAAAAGACAGCUUUUGGGGAUUCUUUGCUGUGUUUGUUGCUCCUACAAUGUAAUACUAUUCAAAGGGUCCGAUUGUGUAUUCAGAUAUCACAUACAUAUUGCCCUGAGUCGGGGAUUUCCUGUUACUGUGAAUGAUAAAGAUU